UGAUGGCUGCUUCUCUCACUGCUUGGUGCCUUAAGUAGUGGGAUUUUAGCUUGUCAUAUAUCUAAGCUGACUUAUUUUCACUCAGGGCAUCAUGGGGAUCUGGUGGCUAUCUGUUAGUGCCUUCUGAUUUUUGCAGAGUCAAACAAUU